rnacentral:rRNA from 1 species
AUUGAACGCUGGCGGCAGGCCUAACACAUGCAAGUCGAGCGAGGGGCGGGCGGGUGAGAAAUGUAUGGGGAUCUGCGCGAGAGAGGGGGAUAACUAGUGGACAGGGUGGCUAACAGCGCAUACUAACGGAUGAACCCAUAUGGGAUUAGCGAGUAGGUGGGGUAAAGGCUCACCUAGGCGACGAUCUCUAGCUGGUCUGAGGGGAUGAUCAGCCACACUGGAACUGAGACACGGCCCAGACUCCUACGGGAGGCAGCAGUGGGGAAUAUUGCACAAUGGGCGCAAGCCUGAUGCAGCCAUGCCGCGUGUAUGAAGAAGGCCUUAGGGUUGUAAAGUACUUUCAGCGGGGAGGCGUUACCCGCAGAAGAAGCACCGGCUAACUCCGUGCCAGCAGCCGCGGUAAUUC